rnacentral:rRNA from 1 species
AUUGAACGCUGGCGGCAUGCCUUACACAUGCAAGUCGAACGGCAGCGGACCUUCGGGUGCCGGCGAGUGGCGAACGGGUGAGUAAUAUAUCGGAACGUACCUUUCAGUGGGGGAUAACGUAGCGAAAGUUACGCUAAUACCGCAUAUUCUGUGAGCAGGAAAGCAGGGGAUCGCAAGACCUUGCGCUGAUUGAGCGGCCGAUAUCAGAUUAGCUAGUUGGUGAGGUAAAGGCUCACCAAGGCGACGAUCUGUAGCGGGUCUGAGAGGAUGAUCCGCCACACUGGAACUGAGACACGGUCCAGACUCCUACGGGAGGCAGCAGUGGGGAAUUUUGGACAAUGGGCGCAAGCCUGAUCCAGCCAUGCCGCGUGAGUGAAGAAGGCCUCGGUUGUAAAGC